rnacentral:rRNA from 1 species
AGUGAACGCUGGCGGUAGGCCUAACACAUGCAAGUCGAACGGCAGCACAGUAAGAGCUUGCUCUUACGGGUGGCGAGUGGCGGACGGGUGAGGAAUACAUCGGAAUCUACUUUUUCGUGGGGGAUAACGUAGGGAAACUUACGCUAAUACCGCAUACGACCUACGGGUGAAAGCAGGGGAUCUUCGGACCUUGCGCGAUUGAAUGAGCCGAUGUCGGAUUAGCUAGUUUGCGGGGUAAAGGCCAACCAAGGCGACGAUCCGUAGCUGGUCUGAGAGGAUGAUCAGCCACACUGGAACUGAGACACGCUCCAGACUCCUACGGGAGGCACCAGUGGGGAAUAUUCGACAAUGGGCGCAAGCCUGAUCCAGCCAUACCGCGUGGGUGAAGAAGGCCUUCGGGUUGUAAAGCCCUUUUGUUGGGAAAGAAAAGCAGCAGGUUAAUACCCCGCUGUUCUGACGGUACCCAAAGAAUAAGCACCGGCUAACUUCGUG